rnacentral:rRNA from 1 species
GAUGAACGCUAGCGGCAGGCUUAAUACAUGCAAGUCAAGGGGGUAGCAAUACAACCGGCGCACGGGUGAGUAACGCGUACACAACAUACCAUAUACUGGAGUAUAGCUUUGGGAAACUGAAGGUAAUCCUCCAUAACAUUGCGAGAGGGCAUCUGAUUGCAAUUAAAGUUUCGGCGGUAUAUGAUUGGUGUGCGUUUGAUUAGCUAGUUGGUAGGGUAACGGCCUACCAAGGCGACGAUCAAUAGCUGGCGUGAGAGCGCGACCAGCCACACUGGAACUGAGACACGGUCCAGACUCCUACGGGAGGCAGCAGUAGGGAAUAUUGGACAAUGGAGGAAACUCUGAUCCAGCCAUGCCGCGUGAUAGAUGAAGGCCCUCUGGGUUGUAAAUAUCUUUUAUCUGGGAAGAAACACUCCUAUUCUUAGGAACUUGACGGUACCAGAGAAUAAGCACCGGCUAACUCCGUGCCAGCAGCCGCGGUAAAGUA